CCUACGGGAGGCUGCAGUGAGGAAUAUUGGUCAAUGGACGAGAGUCUGAACCAGCCAAGUAGCGUGAAGGAUGACUGCCCUAUGGGUUGUAAACUUCUUUUAUAAAGGAAUAAAACGAGGCACGUGUGCCUUUUUGCAUGUACUUUAUGAAUAAGGAUCGGCUAACUCCGUGCCAGCAGCAGCGGUAAUACGGAGGAUCCGAGCGUUGUCCGGAUUUAUUGGGUUUAAAGGGAGCGUAGGUGGGUUGGUAAGUCAGUUGUGAAAGUUUGCGGCUCAACCGUAAAAUUGCAAGUGAUACUGGCAGUCUUGAGUACAGUUGAGGUAGGCGGAAUUCGUGGUGUAGCGGUGAAAUGCUUAGAUAUCACGAAGAACCCCGAUUGCGAAGGCAGCUUACUAAACUGAGACUGUCAUUGAUGCGCGAAAGUGUGGGUAGCAAACAGGAUUAGAUACCCUAGUAGUC
rnacentral:rRNA from 1 species